rnacentral:lncRNA from 1 species
AUGUUGCACACCAAAACUACAGCAGUUCUCACAGCGUUGCAACCCCUUCCACCGCAACAAUGUUGCACACCAAAACUACAGCAGUUCUCACAGCGUUGCAACCCCUUCCACCGCAACAAUGUUGCACACCAAAACUACAGCAGUUCUCACAGCGUUGCAACCCCUUCCACCGCAACAAUGUUGCACACCAAAACUACAGCAGUUCUCACAGCGUUGCAACCCCUUCCACCGCAACAAUGUUGCACACCAAAACUACAGCAUAACGGUGUUAAUGUGAUACGUAUCAAAAUGUACAGCCUCCGUCUUCCCAGGAGACGCAGGUCUCUGCUUCUCCGUCUUCCCAGGAGACGCAGGUCUCUGCUCCUCCGUCUUCCCAGGAGACGCAGGUCUCUGCUCCUCCGUCUUCCCAGGAGACGCAGGUCUCUGCUCCUCCGUCUUCCCAGGAGACACAGGUCUCUACUCCUCCAUCUUCCCAGUAGAUACAGGUCUCUCCAUCUUCCCAGUAGAUAA